rnacentral:rRNA from 1 species
UACAGAGGGGGCAAGCGUUGUUCGGAAUUACUGGGCGUAAAGGGCGCGUAGGCGGCCUUCUAAGUCGAACGUGAAAUCCCCGGGCUCAACCCGGGAACUGCGUCCGAUACUGGAAGGCUUGAAUCCGGGAGAGGGAUGCGGAAUUCCAGGUGUAGCGGUGAAAUGCGUAGAUAUCGAGAGGAACACCUGCGGCGAAGGCGGGUUGCUGGGCUGAUACUGACGCUGAGGCGCGAAAGCUAGGGGAGCGAACGGG